rnacentral:rRNA from 1 species
AACGAACGCUGGCGGCAGGCUUAACACAUGCAAGUCGAGCGCCCCGCAAGGGGAGCGGCAGACGGGUGAGUAACACGUGGGAAUCUACCCAUCUCUACGGAAUAACGCAUGGAAACGUGUGCUAAUACCGUAUACGUCCUUCGGGAGAAAGAUUUAUCGGAGAUGGAUGAGCCCGCGUUGGAUUAGCUAGUUGGUGGGGUAAAGGCCUACCAAGGCGACGAUCCAUAGCUGGUCUGAGAGGAUGAUCAGCCACACUGGGACUGAGACACGGCCCAGACUCCUACGGGAGGCAGCAGUGGGGAAUAUUGGACAAUGGGCGCAAGCCUGAUCCAGCCAUGCCGCGUGAGUGAUGAAGGCCCUAGGGUUGUAAAGCUCUUUCACCGGUGAAGAUAAUGACGGUAACCGGAGAAGAAGCCCCGGCUAACUUCGCGCCAGCCGCCGCUGUAAGAC